UGACUCAGCAGAUGAUGAGAAACCUCUUCAGGAGUCCGUUACAGAUCCGACUCAAAAAGAAAAAUCCCCAGUUCAGAGUGAGUAUAUAUUUAAAUAUGAAUUUAUGCUUAAGAAGCUGUUACUUUUUAAUUCCUCUCAAAAGUGGUAAUUUACUAAUCAGAGUAGAUAGUGUCUUUGCUGAGGAUAGUUGUAGGUGACAAUUUCACCAUUUCCAAUCAUAAGUUGUCAAACAUACAUCUGUUACAGAAACCUAUUCGCAAGUGGAAGGUGACGCUUUGCUCCUCACGAACAAAGCCAAAAUGCUUCAAGCAAAGUUUAAGCGUAAAAAGAAACCCACUAUUGAACUGCUAGCUGCUCCCGAUGAGGAUGACAUUGAGACAGUAGUGGUAAGCAGCAGCGAUGAGGACGACGAAGACGAAGGACGAAGGGAAGAUAACGACGACGAAGACGAAGGACGAAGCGAAGAUAACGACGACGACGAAGACAAUACAAAUGAUCAACAAUCAAAUCCGGAGCCUUCAACAAGCGACAAGGGAAAAGCAUGGGUUCAUAAAUUACCACAGUCCAUCAAAGGCAGUCAGACUGUAACUGUUGAAGUGGGAAACAUUAGUGGUAAAUUACAUCGGAAGGAUGCGCCAAUUCCUGAGGCUCCGAAGAAAAGGCGGCGUUGUGAAUGUAAGUUGUUUCCCAUAUCAUCCCCUCCCUACCAAGAGAUGUACCCGCAUAUAAUUGACCCUGUAGCAAGGGAUAUACCCACACAUGAUGAUGAAAAUGUAAUGGGGAACUUUUUUCAUAAAAUCCAAAGUAAAAACCUAAACAUCAGCAAGAUGCGCCUGUAUCCAAAGCUCCGACGUAAAGGCGCCGGUAUGAAUGUAAAUUGCUGCACAUAUGAUGGCC
rnacentral:lncRNA from 1 species